rnacentral:rRNA from 1 species
GACGUAGGAUGCAAGCGUUGUCCGGAUUUAUUGGGCGUAAAGAGUUCGUAGGCGGUUUGUUAAGUCUGGUGUUAAAGAUCGGGGCUCAACCCCGGGAGUGCACUGGAUACUGGCAGACUGGAGUGUGGUAGAGGUAAGUGGAAUUUCUGGUGUAGCGGUGAAAUGCGUAGAUAUCAGGAAGAACACCGGUGGCGUAAGCGACUUACUGGGCCAUAACUGACGCUGAGGAACGAAAGCCAGGGGAGCAAAUGGG